rnacentral:tRNA from 2 species
GCCCCUGUAGCGCAAUGGUAGCGCGUGAGACUUUCUAAUCUCAAGGUUGCGGGUCCCCCGCCAGGGGUU